rnacentral:siRNA from 1 species
GCGAGUGUUGCGACGAACCACAGC